AACGAACGCUGGCGGCAGGCCUAACACAUGCAAGUCGAGCGCUCUAGCAAUAGGGAGCGGCGCACGGGUGCGUAACGCGUGGGAAUGUACUCCUUGGUACGGAACAACAUCGGGAAACUGAUGCUAAUACCGUAUAAUAUCUCCGGAUCAAGGAUUUAUCGCCAAGGAAUCAGCCCGCGUCAGAUUAGCUAGUUGGUGAGGUAAUGGCUCACCAAGGCUACGAUCUGUAGCUGGUCUUAGAGGAUGAUCAGCCACACUGGAACUGAGACACGGUCCAGACUCCUACGGGAGGCAGCAGUGAGGAAUCUUGGACAAUGGGGGCAACCCUGAUCCAGCCAUGCCGCGUGAGUGAUGAAGGCCUUCGGGUUGUAAAGCUCUUUUAGCUGUGAAGAUAAUGACGGUAACAGCAGAAAAAGCCCCGGCUAACUUCGUGCCAGCAGCCGCCGUAAAAC
rnacentral:rRNA from 1 species